GACUCUGCUCGCGCUUCGGGUGACCGGAAACGCUCCGCUCUUCCGGCAGUUCCAUCGACACGAUCACGGUUGUAACCCAAAUUCGAAUUUCAGAAGCGUGUUCAGUUAUUCGGGUAUUCCGAAUUCAAAGCCGUAGUGAUUUCAUUUAUUCGUGCUUCGAAAUUGCUUCAAGUUGUUUGAAGUAUUUGAAUUGGAAGUAUGAGACUUUUCAUCGGAGCAAAUACACCGAUGUCUGGACCAUAACCUUAUAUUUUAAUAUUAUUAACUGUAAAGUUUAAGCACAGCGUACACCGUUGUAAUAAUUAAUUAGAAUGUAGGAAAUUUACGAACACUUUAAGAGAUACGGUGCCAAGGAAAAGGGGAGAAACGAGGAGAAUCAAGGGUGACACGUGGUCUCCACAAUUGCCUGUUGGACGACCCAGACUUGGCAGAAAGGGGAGCAGACGGAGAGGGACGAUACAAGGACCGAGUGGAGAAGAGCGAGAUGGAAGAGAGCGGAAAUAAAGUGCGGUGGUCGCAGUUAUAGAAAAGACGGAAAAAGUCGAGUGCAGAGGGCGAUAGAGGAGAAAAAGAAGCGGAAGAUAUACGAGAUGAACUUCCAAUCAACUUGGUCUAGUUUUAUUACCGGGGAUAGUGGAUUUAUAGUUGAAUACGAAGGCGAGACUGAAAGAAGCGUUGCAAAGAGGGAAGAAAAACGAACGGCGAAGAGGGUCAACACGGAGUGUAAUCAAGGUUAUGAAAAACAGGGUGAAAAGAGUGUUUACGCGAGAGGAGGAGGUAGACGCGGAAAAACGGAUACACGGGGCUGCGGAAACACGUAGGGCGGGAAAAAAGGGGUGGUAAAGUGGAAGAGACAACAAGUAACCGGCGUAAAAAGUUGUAGACGAGAAGGGACGUAAAAAAGGGAUGUGCAGGUGGUGCGGAUAAGAGGAAGCCUAGUCCAUUGCGUGAAAAAAGGAAUACACUCGAGGACAAAUAGAAAGCAAUACAAACGGAAUGGUUAAUGCGACAAAACGAAGAUUCUGAAAUACGAAUAAAGGGUAAGAGAAUAUGCAGCGAAUAAAGGGGUGCAUAACACCUUCUCGGGGAAAAAGGAAAGGGAACGUCCGAGGUAAUAAAGGCGACCGAUAGAGAGAAAGAGAUUACGACGGAGGGGGUUGACGGUGAAAAAGAAAAUACGCAGAGUCCGUGCGAAGAAAAGGACGACGUGCAACCGGGGGUUGGAGAAAAGAGAAAUAAAAUGGCAAACUGAGCGAGGUCUUUGAGAGAAUAAGAGAGCAAAGUGGAGUUCAGUAGCUCGUUUCAGCCCGUAUCGUCGGAUUUAACAUAAAGGAAAACGGCCUUAACCGUGUCGAACCCUCUCCCUCUCAACCCCUUUACGCCGUUCUGAAUGUCGAAACAAUUUCGAACGGAAUCGCGAGCACAAACAACCAACGACGUCGACGACGAAAUCGAGAGGAACACUCGGGGCACGUUGUUUGCGGUCUUGAAAUUCAUUUUCAUUCGCGAGACUCUUUAACGGUGGCCAGGAAAGUGGCGCCGACUCGAAGAGGGUGGAUGAAAGUGGGUCGGAGAAUGCGGAUCGUUUAAUCGCGUAUUAUUAGAACAGAACGAGGCCUCGUGUUGCUACGAGGGCAAUUUCGAGCGAUAAAUUUUCAUGAUGCUGUUAAUUAAUUUGAUCCUUGAUUACGCGUGCUCGCGUCAGCUUGCGAUAUUGAUUUCCUCACGAUUAUGCGAUCGAUAAUCAACAGCGGUUCAACCAGACCCGACGAGAUGACGGAUUUCAUUUUAUCGAAUGGCUCUCGUCAUUUUAUAUUUAUUCGUGUCUCGGAAAAGUCAUUAGCAAGACUUUGCGAUGGAGUUCCCGCAACGGAAUUUUCUGAUUAUUCUACGAAAAUAAAAAGCUAUAAUACACUUUUUUAGUGGUAUUCGUAAUACAAAUAUUUGUAGAUAUUUAUACUUGUAGAUCGAUCGAAUAAUUUUCAGGGCAAUGAAGAAAAUUAUGUCAUGACCAAUUUAACUAAUCGAUAAGAUUGAUUUAAUACAGCAAUAAUUCAUAGAAUACACAGGAAACAGCAACAACCUGUUCUUUAAUAAACACGUUAUUACAUUCUAUUUGAUUACUCGGAAAGUGUUGUAUGAAACUGCAACAGCCAUUCGUAUCGAUGACGACCUAAUUGCUAUUCAUUUAACAAACACCGUUCUAUUUGUCCUCGAUCUACCCCGUAAUAAACGAUAAAGAAAGUUCGUUUACAAAGUUUCCCAGGAAGUCGCGCGACAAAGCCAGCCACUAUAGAGAUAAAAACGGCAGCAUAAUUCAGAAGAAUGACAGAGAUGUUCGCCGCUGUACAAGAAACGGAAGUUUGUCGGUUUUAGAUGGCGAAAGUAACUUUCACCACCGGCAAGAAUUCCGGAAAAUGCUACGAAUGUCUGAAUGAAGAGGCUCCAGCGUGUUUCUCAUAAUCAUAAACACAGCGAAAUACCGGUGGAAAACAAACUUCUCUCGUAGCAUCAAUCCCACGAUAACGCGUUUAAGCUCGGCUUAAUCCGGAUUGUUAUUUCUUUCGACGGUUAUUACGGAAGCGUGGCGAGUCGGAAGCUCGGCGUCGCUUUUUGGCGGUUCUUUUAACCCCUUGCCUUCUUACGAAUGCUCGAUGGAAAUUAAUACUGCUAAGAGGAUUUUAUAAUUGUCCACUUUAUAUUACACAACUGUGCUAUGAAUUUUAUAGGGACUUGAGAAAUUUUAUUUUUUUUUUGUUUAUUUAUAGAAAGUCAAAAUAAUUUUGUAUGCUGCUUGUAUCAAUAAUUUUGUAAUUUUAAUUUUGGAAUUUCUACUUCAUGUUAUAUUUUUUCUGCAGUAGUGUAAUAGCUUUUAAAGGGAUGUAAUGAAUUUUAUUUUCUUCUUAAUUAUUUACGUUCAAUUGCAGGCUACUUAAGAGCAAUAAAAAUUUUAUUGGUUUUACAAUCAAGACAUGAUUCACCAAUAAUAAUUUCACUAAAGCAUCUUCAAUUUACACCUACGUCCAACUUUUAUUGCCAAGGAAUAUUUAGCAAGUCAUAACAGAAAAGUUUAAAAUUUCUUUUUAGCCGAAUGUGUGACAUUCCUGACAGCGUCGUAUAAUUUCUCCUUCGAGCGCAAGCGGUGUUACGCGUCCUUUAAUGUAAAUAAAAAAACGCGAAUUUACAUGUACGCGAUGCAAAUGGAGAUAUACGUAUUGUAUAAGAAAGAAUAACCCGGGGCAAGGAGAUAGCACUUGCUCGAAAAAUACUCUCCAAGGGACAAUAAUCGCGAAAGACAGAAUUAUGGAAGCUAAGAUAAACGUAAGAAUGGUAGAUAGAGCGGCAGUCUUUGAAUUAUUGCAUACCACUUUUCAAAUUCCACGGGAAAAUUCAUUUUAUGCGGAAGAAUUGGAUAGAUUCUUUGCCGCUCUUCUUAUGUUGCUGAAAUAUUUAUAAAUUGCACCUUACUGGGUACCGUAGGAGAUGGACUUAAACAUGAACUGAUAUAUUUCAGUGAUAUAAGGUAUCGUAUAAAAAUGAUAUUAUGUGUACAUAUAAUAAUGUUCUACACUAUAUGUAUAAUAAUGUUGUAUACUAUAUAAUAAUGAUGUUAUUUACUAUGUAAUAAUGAUGUUAUGUACUAUGUAAUAAAUGCUUUUGUAAAUUUGCAGUUAUCUGUACUGAUAGACAAAGAUCGAUCACAUGUUAUGCACAGUAAAUUCAGAUUCAACAUCUCCGAGUAGUUGCGUAUCAUAUGUACAUAACAUUGUAACCAAAUUACCUAUCAGCCCUAACUUCACCUACCUUAAAUUAAUGUAACCUGAGUAACGUAACUGAUUUGAACGGUAAGAUACACCCCAGCUGAACCUAACAAGCUCGAAUUAUGAAAUGUACCUUCACUUAAGGCACACGAAGUAAUCAUCAAAAUUAAAUUAAUAUCAAGCUGUAAAAUGUUAAAAAUUGAAAAGGUGAAAGGGUACUCGAUCUGAUUUAUUACAAGUCUAAAAUAAUUUUGACCGUAUAAGAGGAUUUGUAAAUUAGAGAAUGUCCACGGUUCAGUGAACUAUGAAAAGGUUUUCGAGCAAGGAAUCGAGCAAUAUUUAAUGAAAUUUACGGCACAUAAAUUUCUGAAGCGUGGCUAUUCAACCCAUAAAAGCUGCUCAGUGCGGUUUAAUACAGAGAGAUGCAUCAAUCGGCUCAAGCAACUUUUCCAAGUGACAUAACUCUAUGACAGUGUAAUGCUGCCCUCAAAACGAACCGAUCAGACAAUCGAUUUCCCCUUUGACCUCUGGCGCGCUUUAUCUUUGAUUUCGAACGCGAACUCGAUUGGUUUCUAGGAAACGCUUUCUUUUCCAGUUUUAAAGCUCUCUCGGAGUUAAUUUAAAAUUGAAAGACACUUAGAGCUUCGGUAUCGAGAGAGGUAAUUCGGGAACGAAUGGUCUCCAAGAAUUUGAAAAUAGGAACGAUUCUACGAUCCUGAAAUUAUUUGCAAUG
rnacentral:lncRNA from 1 species